GUAGAUUACAGUUUUUCAGCUCACUAGAGAUCCAGAAUCAAAAUCUAAACCAGCUGCUGUUUUGAGGCGGGUGCCUUACUUCAGCUUACUCAAAAGAACACAAGAUGAACGGAGGAAGAACCAGAGAUGCUUGUUUCAGAAUUCAAUUGUUCCAGAAAGAUGUUUCCCCUGAUGCCAUCUGGCUGGCAGAGCAGCUGCCUUUAGAUUCAGAAGUGUCUUUGGGCCGAGAGGAGAACACAAGCACAUAGAUAAGGAUUUACUGCAUACACCCCUUCUUUUGGAGAUGUGGGAGACUUUGUGUGAAAACUCUACUGGUAGAGAUGGAGGACUGCUGUGUUCUCAGUCUUGAAAAAUGUUCCAUUUUUCUUGUAUUCUAACUAUUCUAACUGCAACAUAAUCUAGCACUGAAGUACACCUGAAACAACUUUUUAAUCUCAGGAUGUUGUUGUAGGUUGUUGGGCAAGGAGGCUGAGGCGUCUUGCCAACAGUAAGAGCUGCAUCUUUCUAAAAGCACGUAAAUCUGUGCCUCCCGUCCUAGCAGAACCUGCUGCAAUGCGGCCCAUGCUUUCCCAUGGGAGGAUACCAACCCAACAGAAUAGACCUGCACAAGCUUUCUGGUAUUUUACAUACACGCUGCAGGAUACGGAAUCGUGACAUCAAAGGGUUAAUGUGAAUGAAAACGAUUGCUCUCGUUCUACUUGAACUGAUUACGUUUUGAAUUUUGAUACUGUGAAGCUGCAGAUUUAUCUUGAGGUAAGCCAGCAGAAAGGCACCAUUUUCCUGUAAGCAUCAGCCACUCUGUGCCUUAAAAGAAAUUUGGGACAGAUGUGUGUGUCUUUUUAUUACAAUGAAUGCAGGGAGAAAAUGUAUUUUAUUUCUUAUUUAAUAAAUUUGCCCGUUCAUCUCAGUAUGUGGGACUGUCAAAGUUUAUAAAUUUGGCAGUAUUUUAACAUGAUCAUUCUGUUUUUCUUUAAACCAAAGUUAUUAAAUUGAUAUAUUUUUAUAAAAAGCAGAGCCUGAUGGAAACUUAUUUUUUCAUCUUUUGACAUUUAGACAACUGUUAGGGGGUUUUAAGUAACUCCGUAUCUUAAAUCAGAGCGGCGGAAAGAUAAAAGUUCUCCCAAAGGCUGCUGGAACCCAAUCAGCCAACAGGGACGCAAGGGAUCCUUUAUUGAAGCGUUGGUUCCAGUGCCCCGGUUCAGCCUGCACCAGUGGAAGCUGCCCACGGGCUGCAGCCUUCCCAGCACAGCUCCAGCCAGCAUCAUCUGCAGCAUCCACGCUCCUUGAAUUAGAGACAGCUGCGCAUUCCUCAGUUAUUAUGAAUUAUCUUCGUUCAUUAGCUGCUUCCAUGUGCCACAGUAGUGCCUGUAUAUGAGAAUGAACCGAGCGUGCGGUUGUGAAGAACUGCAUGCAAACUAUUUAAAAGUCCGUCCCCGCUCAUUUAUAGUGUAUUUCAUAAACAGUUUGGAAGUUGCUUCAUACAUGGUUGUUUUUUUUUUUGUUGUUUUUGUUUUAUAAUGGCUCAACGCUGAUUGUAUCAGCAAAGUUAUUAUGCUGAGUCCCUGCAGUAAUUUGUCAAAUAAUCAUCUCCUGGCACAUAUUUUUUCUACAAAGGCGCUAAUGACUACAAGCAUGAUUAAUAACUGAGCUAAGCUGUUAUUGCUGGGAAGUUCUCC
ensembl:lncRNA